UGGCGGCAGGCCUAACACAUGCAAGUCGAGCGGAUGAAGGGAGCUUGCUCUCUGAUUCAGCGGCGGACGGGUGAGUAAUGCCUAGGAAUCUGCCUGGUAGUGGGGGACAACGUUCCGAAAGGAGCGCUAAUACCGCAUACGUCCUACGGGAGAAAGUGGGGGAUCUUCGGACCUCACGCUAUCAGAUGAGCCUAGGUCGGAUUAGCUAGUAGGUGGGGUAAUGGCUCACCUAGGCGACGAUCCGUAACUGGUCUGAGAGGAUGAUCAGUCACACUGGAACUGAGACACGGUCCAGACUCCUACGGGAGGCAGCAGUGGGGAAUAUUGGACAAUGGGCGAAAGCCUGAUCCAGCCAUGCCGCGUGUGUGAAGAAGGUCUUCGGAUUGUAAAGCACUUUAAGUUGGGAGGAAGGGCAGUAAGUUAAUACCUUGCUGUUUUGACGUUACCAACAGAAUAAGCACCGGCUAACUUCGUGCCAGCA
rnacentral:rRNA from 1 species